GACGAACGCUGGCGGCGUGCCUAAUACAUGCAAGUGGAACGCAUUGGUAACACCGGACUUGCUCCAGUGUUACUAAUGAGUCGCGAACGGGUGAGUAACGCGUAGGUAACCUGCCUGAUAGCGGGGGAUAACUAUUGGAAACGAUAGCUAAUACCGCAUAAGAGGAGUUAACUCAUGUUAACUGUUUAAAAGAAGCAACGGCUUCACUAUCAGAUGGACCUGCGUUGUAUUAGCUAGUAGGUAGGGUAACGGCCUACCUAGGCAACGAUACAUAGCCGACCUGAGAGGGUGAACGGCCACACUGGGACUGAGACACGGCCCAGACUCCUACGGGAGGCAGCAGUAGGGAAUCUUCGGCCUAUGGACGCAAGUCUGACCGAGCAACGCCGCGUGAGUGAAGACGGUUUUCGGAUCGUAAAGCUCUGUUGUAGGGGAAGAACGUGUGUAAGAGUGGAAAGCUUACACA
rnacentral:rRNA from 1 species